rnacentral:rRNA from 1 species
GAUGAACGCUGGCGGCGUGCCUAAUACAUGCAAGUCGAGCGAACAGACGAGGAGCUUGCUCCUCUGACGUUAGCGGCGGACGGGUGCGUCCCACGUGGUUAACCUACCUCUCCGACUGGGAUACCUUCGGGAAACCGGAGCUACUACCGGAUAAUAUAUUGAACCGCAUUGUUCACUCGUGAAAGACGGUUUUGCUGUCACUUAUAGAUGACUCCGCGCCGCAUGAGCUAGUAGGUAGGGUAACGGCUUACCAAGGCUACGAUGCGUAGCCGACCUGAGAGCGAGGUCGCCCAGACUGGAAGUGAGACAGGGUACAGACUCCUACGGGAGGCAGCAGUAGGGACUCUUCCGCAAGGGGGGAAUGCCUGACGGAGCAACGCCGCGGGAGUGAUGAAGGUCUUCGGAUCGGAAAACUCUGUAAUUAGGGAAGAACAAAAGUGUAAGUAACUAGGCACGUCUUGACGGUACCUAAUCAGAAAGCCACGGCUAACUACGUG